UACGAUGAAGAGUUUGAUCCUGGCUCAGGAUGAACGCUAGCGGCAGGCUUAACACAUGCAAGUCGAGGGGUAUAGUUCUUCGGAGCUAGAGACCGGCGCACGGGUGCGUAACGCGUAUGCAAUCUACCUUUCACAGAGGGAUAGCCCAGAGAAAUUUGGAUUAAUACCUCAUAGUAUUACGACCCGGCAUCGGGAUGUAAUUAAAGUCACAACGGUGAAAGAUGAGCAUGCGUCCCAUUAGCUAGUUGGUAAGGUAACGGCUUACCAAGGCAACGAUGGGUAGGGGUCCUGAG
rnacentral:rRNA from 1 species